UUUUCAGCCAUCACAACUGAGGCCGCAUCCUUGACCCGGCAACGAGGCAGUACACCUGCAGAGCACAGGGCCGGCCCCAAAAGCCGCCUUCCCCCCGCGGGGCUAAGGGCGGCCCUCGAGCAGCUCCGCGACAUGGCGGCCGCACUCCUGCCGGCCUGUGUGCGCGUUAGCCCGGCGCUGCCACCGCCGCCAGGUGGGCACCGGGGGCUCUGGGGCGGCUCCCGAGAGCCAUCCCGCCGCCUCCCCUACAGCCCUGUCGGGUCGGAGAAGGGGAGGCGAAGGGCUGGCCCUGAGGGGGUCCCCGGCCGCCCCUCCAGCCCCGGCGCUGCCUGAGGGGAGGGCGACAUCUUGUGGCCCAGGCGCGUGGCGCGGCCAUCGGGGGUCUCAGCCAGGUCCCUCGGGACAAAGCGCGUCCCGCUGUCGUUGUACAGCCAGGAAGAUGCCUUUCUCCUGUGAGGUCACAUGGAAGAAAGAAGGAAGCAGAGGUGGCCACAGAGGCAUGCUUACUGGAACAGAAAAACUUCAAAGCUGCUGAGUCCUAGAAAGGUUAACAGCUGCCCUAUGGAAAUGCAUCUUCACAUAAUGUGGAAUUAGUCUGUGGAGCUCACUGCCUCUAGAUUGCUGUGGGACCAAAACUCAGCAAGAGACAGAGAGAAGAAACCAUCUUUUGCUAACUGAGCUGAGAAGAUUCUUCAGAUAUAACCCUCCUGGAGCUGUGUGCCUGAUGCAGGAAGUAUCUGAGGAUGGGUGAAAAGCUGCAGGCAUCCUGGCACAGAACUAAAGGAGCUUCAGAACUGUCUGACAUGGUGGAGCUGGAUUGUUCCCCAGAUAUUCCUGAGAUGCUGCUGACCAGCCAGGGAAGGCACUGCACACAGUAGCUUGGAGGAAUAAUAGAAGGCUCAGAGAAGACAUCAAAAUCUGAUAAUUUGAAGACUAGAUCCACCACUCAGGAAUCCAAAGAAUCUGUAAAAUUAAUUCUUGAAAUUAAGGAAUUUUUAUUAAUUAAGGAAUAUAUUUUAAGGAAUAAGGAAUAAGGAAUUAAUUAAGGAAUGUCUCACGGUAACCAUUUUCAGCAAUGUAUUUGAAGGAUGUUCAACAUAUUCAUCUUUCCUAGAGGCAAGAUUUUCCCCUAAAGCUUCAAGCAGUAGGACUGCUGCUGCUUAUGGCAAGGGAGAGCUUCACAGCUGACUAAUCUCAUGCCUGGAAGUACCUUGAUCCGAGUUUUGGAAAGGGGAUUACAAUACUACUAAACAAAGAAAGGUUAAAGAUAAUGUGGGUACCAGUCCAAGUACAGUCAGGGCAAGAUGGAUUUCAGGGACCUCUGCCUGCAUUAGGCCUGUAUGGACUGCUGAAAUAGCUUUUGUUACCCACAUUUGCUGGCUAAAAUCCAGUAUGAGCUUGGGCCACAGUGGCAAGGAGUUAGAAUUCUUUCACUGAGAAGUUUUCUCUCAGAGGACUUAAAAAAAAAACAAAAACAAAAAACAACAAACAAACAAAAAAACAACAAAUCAGGUAUCCAGCCUUUCAGUGGUCUUCUAUAAAUGGUGGUGUUUAAAGCAAGUCUUCUUGGAUCUUUGAGUAUUGAAGAAGGACCUGAAAAGUGGAACACUGUCAAUAGGAGAGGCAGAGGCACCCCAGAAGAUUAACUGAAGGCUUUAUUUCUAGAGGUGUGAGGCUGAACUUCAGAUCAACUCCCACAGAGGUGAGCAGGAGAAUUUUUGAAAAUUCUAUUUGAACAUUCCCAGCAUGUGGAAGUAUCCCAUCUUUGAGGCUAUCAAAUAAGGGUGCCAACUUUCUUUUCCUAGCUUAUAUUACUAGUGUCCAGCAACAACAAAAAAUUCUUUUUGCAUUGUAAGCUUGGGGUUGAAUUUAUCUCAUUUUGGCUAUCUUAAAAAUGUGGUUUGUUGUAAAUAAAUCACACACUGAAAAUGCUUUAUUCAUUUGUAGGCUGUGCAGGCUGUAGUCUCACUGCUUAAACUUCAGUGAGGAGGUGGCUUUCAUUUUUGUUAAUUCUCCUUGAGGGCAACCUUACUGCUUUGUUACAGGUGGAAGCAAGCACACAGAGCGGGCUCCAUGUGCUCCAUUGGCACAACCCUCUUCCUCCAGCUCAGAGGAGAGCAGUGAAAGCUCCAGUCUCCUUGAUGCUUGUUAACACUCUUCUCCUCAGCUGUCCAUACCUCCUCUUGCUCAGUGGCUGUAAUGAUAAGUUCUGUCUCUGGGAUUUCUAGCCUUCACGGAUAAGUGGCCAGUUACGAUUUUUCCCAGUCGUUGCCUACCCGAGCUGAACGAAUGCCGUUUUCCAUCUUCCUUCAAGACAGCCUCCUUAGUUCCCUGACCACUUCUCUGUUCCUCCUUUUAAUGAAUAUCUAUCCUCAUAAUAUCAUAUCCACAAAUUAAUGUAAUGAUUCUGGAUUUGAGCUAUCUAGUGAGAGGAUUAUCAGCUUUGUGCUCUGCUGGGAUAUUGUCUGCUACAAAAUACUGGCUUGGCUUACGUGCACGUAAUAUUGCCUUUCAAAGCCUGUGCUAUCUAUUGCUUUUCCUCACUUGGUGGUCUCAAUAUUAGUGUUUCUUGGGUUUCUUCUCUUCACAGUGCAGGUCAUUUUUAGAUUAUGCUCCCUCCAAAGUCUUAUGCCUUAACUUGUCAAGGGGUAACUAGCUCUCUGACAAAGAUCCACAGUGAGGAAGGCAUAAAAUAAACAUUUGCUUUUUCAAGAGAUUCUGAAUGCACUGGAGCAUGUUUCUAUACUGGAAAUAACUCUUUCUAUAAUGUCUUUUUUUUUUUUUGGUGAUUCUUUAUUUCAGAGGUAAAUCUUCUCCUCAGUAAAAGUGGGAAGGUACUAAAUUCUUGAGGAAGACAGGUUUGUUAGGGCUUGAAAUAAUAACAUUGCUUGAAUGAGGGACAGCUGAGAGGUAUACUUGAAUUAUACUUUCAUCUAAUCAGCCCAGCUGAAUCUGGUGCUGAGCUCUGUAAACCUGAAUUCAUGAGUAAUUUCUAGUUCUGGUGUCCAUUCAGAACAUGUCAAUUUAAUGAGGCUGCCCUGUAAUGAAUUAAAGUUAUGUGCCAGUGCUGGUAGUAAAGCUGCCUCUUUAAAAUGCAC